CCCGGCCCGCCCCCAGGCCGCCCCCGGGACUCGCGGCCCCGCCUCCGCCCGCACCCGGCCGCGAGGGGCGCGCAGGCCCACUGGGGGCGAGGACCCCAAACUUCUUCCUGGUGGGGCCAGAGAGGGGGACGCAUUCGGGCGGGAGGCACCCCCCUUGCCCGCCGGUGCAACCCCCCCACCCACCCUCCGGCCCAGGGCGGGCUCCGCGUCAAAGAAAACAGGGGCAGUGACACCGUGCAGAGCCAGAGCGGAGCGGCCUGCUGGACACCUCGGAAGUUCCAAAAUGGAGUCACUGUGGCCACGGGGGUCGGGUCCAGUGCUGUCAGGACCGAGGUGACGGUGUAACAGGAACGCUGGAGUGUGGCUGUGUCCCCAGUCGCACCCGGAGCCCUGCUGACUCCCGCCCACCAGGCAGGUGCCACGGGUGCUGGUGCCACGGCUGCGGCCACCGCCUGGCUUGAGACCCACGCCCUCCGCCACCUGUGGACGCCGCCAGUGACCCAGACAUCCCACCAGACGCUCACUCCCCUCCCCUCUCCGAGGGUAACCUGCGAGUGACUCUAUUGGCUCAUGGGAAGGCCUCCGCUAAUACACGGACGAUGUGGACAGACCCAGCGGGGGUGAGUGACUUUUCCCGGGGACACUCCGUUGCUCACAGCACGCACCUCGGAGCGCCCCACGGCUCUGAAAGCGACAGCUCUGCCACCCGUGCAGCCACAGCGUGGCUCUCAGGGAUCCGUGUAACCGCACAGCGGACGAGAAAGAACUCUCUAUGGGAAUUCCGUCUCAGAACGACAAAAACAGCACCAGAGUUAAGAGUUUUUCAAAAUGCUGACACGCCGAGCUCAAAAGGUUCGCCAUCACUGCCUUACAAGCUGAGCAAGCCAAGGACAGCGUGACCGUGAGUGAGAGACGUACUGGUGGCCGGCUGGGGCCCGGCCUGACUCAGGAAGGCCCACUGGCGGCCAGUCCUGUCCCCAGGCCUGUGCGGUCCAGCUGGGCAACAGGCAGCAAAGGACCCGACACAGUGACAAGUUGGGGGAGAUGUUCUUCCGGAAAAUGCACUCUGGAGGCUCCGCUCCAUUCCCCCCACCCCACUCCACCCCACCCCACCCGGCGUCCCCACCCGCGACCACGAGAGAAGCGUGGGCCCGGCCGCCUCGCUGCAGGAGCACUCGGGUGGCCCUCGCAGCAGCUACAGCCUCCUCCACGCAGGCCUCCUACCUGCCUGGAGAGCCCGGAGGUGCACGUGCAAGCAGGAUGGCCAACGCUGGAGCCUGCAGAGGCGGAUGCACACGAGGCGGAGACGCCACCUGCUGGUAGACAAGGGCACAGCAGGCAGCGACACUUUCUGGUUGCAGGUGGGGGUCCUGGCAAAGCUUCCAGGACGUGAAGAGCAUCAGCGUGCCCUGAAUGAGCGGACCUCGCCUCGAAACCCCCCUCCCGUCCCUGCCCAAUGCGGGGGGCUUCACUGCACCCCUGCGCUCCCCACAGCUGACUUACCCAGCCGCAGCACCUGUGCUCCUAAUGGGGUCAUCUGGGAGGCAGUGGAGCCAGUUGCCCCGCUGGGUCCCCCCUUUGUGGGCUGCAUCGUGUUCCUCCAAAAGAUAUGACCGCGUCCUGACCUCCAGCACCUCAGCCUGUGACCGUAUUGGGAAACGGUCAGUGCAGGCCACUCGGGCUCCUAAUCGAAUAGGCCUGGUGUCCUUACAGAAAGGGGAGGUUUGGACACAGACUGGCACACAGGGAGAAGCCGCGUGGAGACGGGGCAGAGAUGGGAGCUGAAGCCAGCGAACCCCAAAGAUCAGGGUGCGGGGUGGGGGGGGGGAGGCAGCUUCCUGCAGAGCUCUCAGAGGAUUCUGGCCUCCAGACCGUGAGCACCUGCAAACCCCCAGCUUGUGGCUCUGUCAUGGCAGCCCCAGGAACUGGUACACCCGCACCGGCUUCCCCAGAGGGAGUGUGCUCGCCGCUGCUGACGUCCAGAACAGGCCGUGGCUGCUCAGGAAGCAGGGACCGCAGGACGGGCAGCAGCAGGAAGUGCGUCCGCAGUGGAUGGAUGCGUGUCAGGGUGGCCAGGGAGCUGCGCGCCCUGCAGGUGGCAGACACAGCUCCGUGGGCAUCCUGGGAGUCACCCGGUCGCCAGCGCCCUCCCCUCGCCUGUCCGACAGGGCAGGCCCUGCUCCGAGUCCUCAUGGUGCCAGAUUAACCGAGGUCGUCUGCCCCACGCGCAUCAGACGCUAAGGAAUCCACUUGCCUGUUCCCGCGUAACAUGGAGAGCCCUGUUUUAGCUGGAGCAUCGAGGCCGCCCCAUCUCAAGCUGGGGGUUAACUCUGGGUGCGAGCCCCGCCCAGCUGGUCACCUGACCAAAUGCUUUGCCUCUGGGAACCCUGUGGGCCUGGCUUGGGAGGGAGGCGGUGAGGUCCGUCUUCAGAGUCGGCCUCUCUCGAGCCUUUCCGUUUCCGAAACGGCACAGCCCACCGUUACUCCCUGGCUACGAGCUCUCGGUUAAAGUCCUCCGCCUCCUGGAUCUGGCCCUGCCUGGCUCUCAGGCCACGGCCACAGGCCCCCCUCCACUCCACCCUGCGCUGCCCCAGGCCCUCCCCAUGCCAACCACAGCGGACGUCCAGUCACUUCUCCCUCAGACCCCAGGGCCUGUGCGCGCCUGGAGCCCAGCCCCCCCCAGAAUGCCAGUCCUCGGGCUGGGUAACAUUGGCCAGUGCCCGGGUGUGAGCAGGGGCAGGACGCGAGCUGCGUUUAGACAGCGAGGGGGGAGCUGGGUGGCGAGCACUGGCCUGUCCGGCCGUCGUGGCUAAUGAUAAGCUGCCGCCAACAACUGCCGCUUGUCCCCAGCCCUGUGCGUCCGGCCCCUCAAGAAACCCCCGUGCAGGAGAGGUGUGCCUGGGCGGAACCCAGUCAUCCUGGGCCUGCGAGCUGGAGGCCCCAUUAUGCAGACACACCCCCCCCGCCCCCUGCCAGCGCAAAGCACCUCCCUCACCUCCCCCUGGCAAAUUCCAGGUCGCUCUCCAAGGCUAGCCCGUGGCUAGCUGUCCCCUGGUAUGUAUUCGUCCAUCUUUCACCCCAUUAUAGAAUCAGUGCCCAGCCGCAGGCUGGCCAGCUGGUCUCCCAGCCUCCAUGCAGCGGGGCUGGUCACGUGGCUGAACGCCUGCCGGUGGAUGGGAGCGGAGGGGACACGCUUUCCUGCCAGGCCUCCAGCGGGGAGCACGCGGACCCCUUUCCUCCUCCCGGCUGCCCCAGUGUGGCCUGACGGUGGCAGCUGGGGCCUUCCUGGGUGGCACCGCUCACCUUGGGAUUUUACAAAAACAAUAAACUUGU